AUAAUUAAAAAAACAAAUCUUUUCUAAUAAUAAGGGACAUAACUCUCCAAUGGUAAAAAAAUACUAAACCCAUCAAAAUAAUGUAAAUGCUUAAAGCAGCUUUCAGAUUUGUUAGUUUGUAAAUACAAAAUUAGCCUCCUCCUGGCCAAAUGAAACUUAAUUAACUUUGUGAUAGAAUUUUCCAUGCCAAAAACUCUUUUAUUGGAUAAAAAAUAUGAAGUAAAAACAGUGACCUUUAUAAUCUUAAGCUUUUUUGGUACGUGAAAAAAAAUUAUCAGAUACUUAUUAUUUGGCCACAACAUUUAAUAAUUUUUUAGACACCUAUUAUCACAGAAUAUAAUUUUUGCCAUCUUAAUUAUAUUGUUAAGUGUGUUGUUGGCAUGCUGUCUCAUUGAAAUAUACCUCAGAUCCUCUUUUAUCUUAUUCAAGAUUUUCAGAAAAGCAAUUUAAAAAUCUGUUAAAGGUUUAUUCUCUAAAUAAAUAGAAUAAUUGGUCCAGUGAUCAAUGGAGAAUGUAAACGAGAUGUGGUAAAAAUGCCAAUGAGAUGUGUUAAUACAACUAAUGAGAUGCGCUUAGAAUGCAAAUGAAAUGUGGUAAAAAUGCCAAUGAGAUAAAGCUAAAGAUAUGUUGUAAUAAUGCUAAUGAGAUGUGGUAAUAAAUCUAAUGAGAUGUGGUAAUAAAGCUAAUGAGAUGUGUUAAUACAACUAAUGAGAUGCACUAAGAAUGCAAAUGAAAUGUGGUAAAAAUGCCACUGAGAUGUGGUUAUAAAGCUAAAGAUAUGUUGUAAUAAUGCUAAUGAGAUGUGGUAAUAAAGCUAAUGAGAUGUGGUAAUAAAGCCGAUGAGAUGCGCUAAGAAUGCAAAUGAGAUGUGCUAAGAAUGCAAAUGAGAUGUGGUAAUAGAGCUAAUGAGAUGCGCUAAGAAUGCAAAUGAGAUGUGGUUAUAAAGCUAAAGAUAUGUUGUAAUAAUGCUAAUGAGAUGUGGUAAUAAAGCCGAUGAGAUGCGCUAAGAAUGCAAAUGAGAUGUGGCUAUAAAGCUGAUGAGAUGUGGUAAUAAAGCUAAUGAGAUGCGCUAAGAAUGCAAAUGAGAUGUGGUUAUAAAGCUAAAGAUAUGUGGUAAUAAUGCUAAUGAGAUGUGGUAAUAAAGCUAAUGAGAUUUGGUUAUGAAGCUGAUGAGAUGCGCUAAGAAUGCAAAUGAGAUGUGGUAAUAGAGCUAAUGAUAUGUGCUAAGAAAGCUAAUGAGAUGUGGUAAUAAAGCUAAUGAGAUGUGGUAGUAAAGCUAAUGAGAUGUGGUAAUAAUGCUAAUGAGAUGUGGUUAUAAAGCUAAAGAUAUGUUGUAAUAAUGCUAAUGAGAUGUGGUAAUAAAGCUAAUGAGAUGUGGUUAUAAAGCUAAUGAGAUGUGGUUAUAAAGCUGAUGAGAUGCGCUAAGAAUGCAAAUGAGAUGUGGUAAUGGGGCUAAUGAGAUGCUCUAAGAAUGCAAAUUAGAUGUUGUAAUAGAGCUAAUGAUAUGUGCUAAGAAAGCUAAUGAGAUGUGGUAAUAAAGCUAAUGAGAUGUGGUAAUAAAGCUAAUGAGAUGUGGUAAUAAUGCUAAUGAGAUGCGCUAAGAAUACUAAUGAGAUGUGGUAAUAAUGCCAAUGAGAUGUGGUUAGAAUUCCAAUGAGAUGUGGUUAGAAUGCCAAUGAGAUUUAGUAAGAAUGCCAAUGAGAACUAUCCACCAGAGAUUGAGCCACAAGGCUGCAAGAACUAUCUUUCUUUCAUGUGAAUUUUGUGUAUACUUUGUAAGCUCCCCUAUAGCUGAUAGUUAACAUUUUCAUCAAAUUAUGAUUUAAAUUAUCCUUUCUUUAAAUAAAAUUAUUUGGUUAUUAAACUUUUUUAAAUAAACAUUGAAAAAGCUUCUAAAUUUUCUGAAAAAAUUACAUUAAAUAGGCACUUUUGAAUUUUUUGCCUAUUUAAAAAAAAAUAUACCAGUAAUGGCACAAGGAUAGAAGAUGUGUGGAAUCAAAUAGGUAACAACUAUAGUGAUGAUGAAAUAUUCUAAUAAUAACCAGUUUUUUAAUGUCUUGACUUAAUGGACUUAUUGUAUGAUGAUAUAUGCGACCAGUUAGAAUAGUGGACAAUGAAAUAUUCAAACAUGGAACUGACUGAAGUUAAUAGACUUAAAAUUCAAAAUUGAAACCAGCAAGUGAAUUAUUUACAACGGCCUUGGAACCAGCAAGUGAAUUAUUGACAUUUAUUUUGAUGUGACCAGUAUUCAUGUGGAUGGACAGUACUAGUGGACUAUAAACUGAUAAAUCUCACAGAAAGGCACAUCACAACUGAGUCUGAAGCUGUUACAUACAAAAGACAAGAUAUCCAGGAAAUAAGAAUUGUAUGUGAUCUAUUUAAAGAUCUUAGGACAGUAGGACCUGGAAGUACUAUAUUACCAACUUCAAGAUUAACUGAGCUUGAGAAAUUACAAAUCAACUGAUACAGAAGAAGAGACUUUGCCAUGUGGAUGAACUUGGAAACAAUUAUUGACAAACAAUAAAGUGUAUUGGUAUUCUUGUAAAAAUCAAUAGAGAGAGAGAGAGAGAGAGAGGAAGGAUAGGAGAGAGUCAGUUGUAAAGAUUUAUGUCUUUUUAACCAGACAUGUCGAUUACAUUAGAAUUUCAGAGGCCUACAGUUCUCCCUUAAAUGGUCAUAGUUAAUACAUGAAGUAGUUAAAGUAGAGGACUUUAGUGUGACCAGUGAAAACAAUCAGGCAGCUGCCAUUGGUUUAAAUCUCUUUUUUCGAAGAUGUUUUGGUUACAUUAGAAUAAAUCUGUAGGAAUGACAAAAAAAAUGUAAAAAAAGUAAUUUGUGGUAUUUUGUACAGUUUCAUUAUGCAAUCUUGAAUACAUUUAUGAUUACUAUUUAUAAAGAAGUAUUAUCAUUAGAAUGAGGAUGGAAAAUGUUUAAACAUUUAUUUGAGACAGAGUUUUGCAUUAUUUCAUUAAAAUUAUUAAAUUCUUUUUGUGUGAAUGAAGGACAAACAGGGAAAACAGAAGCUAUUCUAUGAAUUUCAAAUUGUAUUUAUUUACAUUUGAUUGAUUAGUUGAAGAUUAACUACAAGUAUUCAGCAUAGUACAAAAUUAAGGAUGCACUGCAAGUGUAUAUUAUCUUUAUAGUUAUCAUCACACUAUGUCCAAUCUAGAUGUACAACACUCUUUUUUAUAGUGUUCUGUAAAUUAUCAGGAACACCAGUUGUGAUGAAUGGGAAGACUGGCAGGCUGAGAAAUGGGUAUAAGGGGAGGGAAUACCCCUGCUUAUCUUUUCAUACUGGUUAGUUCCUUUGGUAAAGGUUUUGUACAAAUGUUGUUCAUAUCAGAUGUAUACGAUUUGAAGAGAGUUGUUAUUUGGAGCUCUGUAAAAAAAAAAAAAAGAAAGAAAAAAAAAGAAAAAAAAAAAAGAA